rnacentral:tRNA from 1 species
GGGGUUAUGGCUCAGUGGUUGAGCGUUCACCUUGCACGUGCAAGGUCCUGGGUUCGAUCCUCAGUACCA